rnacentral:rRNA from 1 species
UACGUAGGUGGCAAGCGUUGUCCGGAUUUACUGGGCGUAAAGAGCGCGCAGGCGGUCGUUCAAGUCGCGUGUGAAAGCCCCCGGCUCAACUGGGGAGGGUCACGCGAUACUGAUCGACUCGAAGGCAGGAGAGGGUAGUGGAAUUCCCGGUGUAGUGGUGAAAUGCGUAGAUAUCGGGAGGAACACCAGUGGCGAAGGCGACUACCUGGCCUGUUCUUGACGCUGAGGCGCAAAAGCUAGGGGAGCAAACGGG